AUGAGAGGGAGCUCCUGCUCCCCCGGAUCGUGGUGGCAAAUUCCGGCGACGCCCGCAGGUAAUCGCCGCGGGAGGGGAUUGCGGCGGCGCAAGUCUGGGCGGCGGUGGUGGAGCAAGUACUUGGCGACGGCGACGGCGUUGAAGGUAUGUGGCGACGGAGGCGGAACACUUCCUGGCGAGCGGCAAUCACGCAGCUUGGCGGCGCCGGCCCCUGGAGACGCACGGGCGACGGCGGAGGAAGACGACGGGGGUGGAGGGACUUGUUUGUGA
rnacentral:rRNA from 1 species